ensembl:lncRNA
UUGCACAGCACUGAGCAAGGAGAGAGGGCAGCUAACGCUCAAAUCCCAAACUCCCCGAAAAGCUAAAAGGAAGGGAUUUUAUUUGGGGUUUUAGGUAGGGGAGGGGGAGCAUAUGCCCUUGCUGGUCGGAGCUUUCCCACCAGCCUGUCUUUGGCCUUGAGACUACUUGCAGAGAGGAGGGAGCCCAUGACCUUGCUGGUCAGCAGCUUUCCCACCAGCCUGUAUCUCUUUGCGGGAGGAGAUAGUCCAGUUGCUUGUCCUUGACGGUGUCUGUCUCCAUGGAGGAUGGUCGAUUCUGGAGCCAGAAAGCCAGAGACUCCCAGCAUUGAGUCACCCCAGCCUUUGAGUAUUUCUAGCUGAGGCCCCAGACACUGUGGAGCAGAGACAAGCCAUCUCACUUCAUCCUCUCUGAAUUCCUGACCCACCAAAUCCAUGAGCAUAAUAAAUUGGUUGAUUUAUGCCAUUAAGUUUGGGGUAGUUGGUUGUACAGCAAUAGAUAACUGGAGCUCACUCAUAGUUGAGGACUGGAAUCUGACACAACUUGGUUUCCCUGGCUCAACUUCCAUUGUUCUUCCUAUCCAUGACCCAUUCAUACUCCUCUAUUCUCCCCCGACUCCACCCCUGCCCAGCCUGCUCUCCCUUACAUGAGUAUCUCAUGCACUUUCACAUUCCCCAGGCCUUUGCUGGUGCUAUACCUCUUCCUGGGCCGCAGUAUCAGUAAGACUUGGGUAUGAGUCCAAUUUGGGCAUCUCAGUAGCAGAGUAAUCAAUCUCUCUAAUCCUCACCAGAAAAAUAGGAAUAAAAAUAGGACCUAUUUGGAGAUUGGAUCAAAAUGGCAGAGUAGGAAGAUCCUUAGCUCACCUCCUCCCACAGACAUCAAAACUACAACCACGUGGAGAACAACUAUUGCUGAGAAUGACCUGAAGAUUAGCAGAACAGAUUAUUCACAACUAAGGAUAUAAAGAAAAAGCCACAUCGAGAUGGGUAGGAGGGGCAGAAACAUGGUCUAGUCAUGACCCACACCUCUGGUGUGGUGAUCCACAAAUGGAAGGGAUAUGACAACUGUGGAGGUCCUUUCCAAUGAGCAAGGGGCCCAAGCCCAACACUGGGCUCCCCAGCCUGGGGAACCUGCACCAGGAAGAUGAGCCCCUAUAAUGUCUGGCUUUGAAAACCAGCAGGGCUUACAUCUUGGAGAACCAGAGUACUAAAGGAAACCAAGACUCUGCUUUUAAAGGGCACAUGCACAAACUCACUAAUUCUGAGUCCCAGCGCAGAGACAACAGCUUGAAAAGUGUCUGUGUUAUACACAAAGGAGAUUCAUUGACUAAUUUUGGGGCAUGUGCCAGAAAGGCAGGGAUCUGUUGGAACUUUCUCUAGGGAUGGGAGCACUGGUGGGUGCCAUUUUUUUUACUCUCCUUCUCCUUAGCUGGCCUGGCCCUGGUGGGCAUCACUUCUAACACUCUCCAUCUACUUUGCUAGCACCACUCACCGCACCCUGGCAGCCCUGCCCAAGCUGAUGCCCCUCCAAAGCAGCUCCUGCCCUGCCCCACCCAGCAGGCCGCCCUAACAUGAACCAGAACCCCUUCAAAAUGGAUCCAACCCCAGAGGGCCAGCUCCGCACACUAGCAAACCCACAGCAAUCAUACCCCUAGCACAACAGGAGGGUGCACACAGCCUACACAGAGGAUACAGCUGGAGCAUCUGGCUCGGUAACCAUGAAGAAUUGCACUACUAGGCCCCACAGGGCAUCUUAUACAUUAGGCCAUCCCUUCAUGACCAGGAGACGUAGGUGAUCUACCUAAUACAUAGAAAUAAAUACAGAGAGUUAGGCAAAAUGAGGAGGAUGAGGAAUAUGUUCCAAAUGAAAAAGAAAGGCAAAAGCCUUAGAAAAAGAACUAAAUACAAUGGAGAUAAGCAAUCUAUCUGAUAGAGUUCAAAGCAGGGACUGGGCCUCUGGCGUAGUGGUCAAGUGCACAUGUUCCACUUUGGCGGCCCAGGGUUUGCCGAUUCAGAUCCCGGUGUUGACAAGGCACUGCUUGGCAAGCCAUGCUGUGGUAGGCAUCCCAUAUAUAAAGUAGAGGAAAGUGGGCAUGGGUGUUAGCUCAGGGCCAGUCUUCGUCAACAAAAAGAGGAGGAGAGGCAGCAGAUGUUAGCUCAGGG